CUAGGGGAGCCAGUAAAGAUUAAAUGUGCUUCUCAAAGGCAGCCACUUCAUGCUGCUAUGUCGAAAGGGCCAUUAUUAUUAUUAUAUUUUAAUAGUAAAAGAGAAAAGGAGAGAGGUUGAGCGAGCGAGAGAGAAGCUAGGUGUGAUGAUGACAGACUAGCUUUUCUGAGAGGAAAAGGAAAAGGGAAGGGAGAGAAAAAGGAGAGCCUCUGAGCUCAACGGAGGAUUGUGCCUGAGAAGAACCCACAGAGGAGGCUGUGCGGGCCCCGCUCCGCUUCGAAUGGUUGUGUUGAUGUUCCUUUCAGCUGGUCCUAUAGUACCCCUCCUCAGGAAUGUCUCCCCAGUGCAAGGACAAAGACUGAAGAGACUGCUAUAUUGAUGGACUCUCAAGCCAACUAUGAAGUUGAAACAAAGAAAGUGAUCACCUGAAGACACCUCCUCUGCUAAGAAACACCCCCAAAUUGUGCAGCUUCUGCCACUAGAACUCUCAGAACAAGAGACAAUCUUUUCAAGAAACAGAAAAACUCAAUAAUGACAUCUAGAUUUUCAUGAGCCAAGAACUUUCCUUUCCUCAUGUGUAUUCCUCUGUUUGUACUUAAAUUCAUGUGACAUUCAUUUUUUUCCUAGUAUGGAUAUGCUUAUUAAUGCACUUGUUUCAAAAUCCCAAAUUGCACAAAUGUGUUAAUAUUUUAAGAAACAAAAUGAAUCCUACAAGGAGAAUGAUGUUUAGCCACACAUAGGGUUGGAUCUUAAGAGUGACCUACAGAAUAAAAGUACUUUUAAAAUAAAGUAGUCAGAGGCUAUUCAAAGGGUAAAAUAAUCAUAGUACCACAUUGGUCCACUUGACACUAACCAAUCGAUCAUUUUUUUUAAAUCAAGAAAGCUAGAUUCUAUCAGAUAAAAUCACUGCUUCUAAAGAGUUUAAAUCUAGUUAGAAAAAGUUAUAGAAAUGUUUUCAAAGAUAAGUAAC
rnacentral:sRNA from 1 species